rnacentral:rRNA from 1 species
AUACGUAGGGUGCAAGCGUUAAUCGGAAUUACUGGGCGUAAAGCGUGCGCAGGCGGUUAUGCAAGACAGAGGUGAAAUCCCCGGGCUCAACCUGGGAACUGCCUUUGUGACUGCAUGGCUAGAGUGAGGCAGAGGGGGAUGGAAUUCCGCGUGUAGCAGUGAAGUGCGUAGAUAUGCGGAGGAACACCGAUGGCGAAGGCAAUCCCCUGGGCCUGCACUGACGCUCAUGCACGAAAGCGUGGGGAGCAAACAGGAUUAGAAACCCUAGUAGUCC